CCUACGGGUGGCUGCAGUGGGGGAUAUUGCACAAUGGGGGGAACCCUGAUGCAGCGACGCCGCGUGGGUGAAGGAGCGUUUCGGCGCGUAAAGCCCUAUCGGCAGGGAAGAAGAUGACGGUACCUGACCAAGAAGCCCCGGCUAACUACGUGCCAGCAGCGGCGGUAAUACGUAGGGGGCCGGCGUUAUACGGAUUUACUGGGUGUAAAGGGGGCGCAGACGGCACUGCAAGCCAGGAGUGAAAGCCCGGGGCCCAACCCCGGGACUGCUUUUGGAACUGCAUGGCUGGAGUACAGGAGGGGCAGGCGGAAUGCAUAGUGUAGCGGUGAAAUGCGUAGAUAUCAGGCGGAACACCGGUGGCGAAGGCGGCCUGCUGGACUGUGACUGACGUUGAGGCCCGAAGGCGUGGGGAGCAAACAGGAUUAGAUACCCUGGUAGUC
rnacentral:rRNA from 1 species